GCCGGCAGUUAGCUCUCUGCAACUCUCACAUGGUUGCCCACUGAAGCUAAGCAGGGCUGCGCCCGGUCAGUUCCUGGAUGGGAGACCACAAGGGAAAGCUAGAUUGCUGCCGGAA
rnacentral:rRNA from 1 species